UACGUAGGGCGCAAGCGUUGUUCGGAUUUACUGGGCGUAACGGGCGCGUAGGCGGCGCGGUAAGUCACUUGUGAAAUCUCUGAGCUUAACUCAGAACGGCCAAGUGAUACUGCAGUGCUAGAGUGCAGAAAGGGCAAUCGGAAUUCUUGGUGUAGCGGUGAAAUGCGUAGAUAUCAAGAGGAACACCUGAGGCGAAGGCGGGUUGCUAGGCUGACACUGACGCUGAGUGCGCGAAAGCCAGGGGAGCAAACGGG
rnacentral:rRNA from 1 species